CAGUCGCCACGGUAAUACGGAGGGUGCAAGCGUUAAUCGGAAUUACUGGGCGUAAAGCGCACGCAGGCGGUCUGACAAGUCAGAUGUGAAAUCCCCGGGCUUAACCUGGGAACUGCAUUUGUGACUGUAUAGCUAGAGUACGGCAGAGGGGGAUGGAAUUCCGCGUGUAGCAGUGAAAUGCGUAGAUAUGCGGAGGAACACCGAUGGCGAAGGCAAUCCCCUGGGCCUGUACUGACGCUCAUGCACGAAAGCGUGGGGAGCAAACAGGAUUAGAGACCCCAGUAGUCCCUGUCUCUUAUAC
rnacentral:rRNA from 1 species